rnacentral:lncRNA from 1 species
AGUGCAGAUCAAGAAGUGCCUGCAAAGGAUGAUGACUGAGUUCAGAAGUUUGGGUCAGGUGUCUGCUCCUCUACUACACCAUGUGUACUCAUGUCAUCGUGAUGAAUGCAAGGGACUCAAGACCAUUAAAUAAUACUUAAAAAUAAUCCUGCUGCAUCAGCAAGCAAUCCCUGUGUUGUCAGCGCAAGGCUUUGGUGGACACAUGAUCAUACAGCCUGGUGGGAAGUCGAUGAAGAGAACUGUCCCUAACUCUAGACUAACGUCAUGGCUUCAGUACCCUGGACCUGAGGACUGUGGAAAGCAAGGGGUCUGCAUAGGGGAGAGAAGAGACACAGCAGAUUCAAGUAUUGGAGCAACAGGAGAAUCAUGGAAUGCUAUGGCCGCUCUCAGCCCGAUGGUGUUUGGGAAACAGUACAUGCUCUUCUCAAGACUUGCCCCUCCUCACACCACUGUCUGUGCCACCAUGUUUCUCUGCUCCCCACAGGCCUCUUCAAAGGGAGAAGCAGGAGGAAAUGCUGCUGGGCAGAUGGUGGAUCUAAAGUUCUGCUCAGCAUGUGAUGGUUCACUCUCUAUAUUAAUAGGUAAGACCUAA